rnacentral:misc_RNA from 1 species
AAGUCGUAACAAGGUUUCCGUAGGUGAACCUGCGGAAGGAUCAUUGAAAAAUCUAAAGGAGCUUGCUCCUGCGAGAAUCCUCAAAGAGACCUCGGUCUUGGCGAGCUUCUCAUAUCAACCUGUUGUAUUGUUUGACAAAAUCAGUGCCUAAUAAAAAAACAACUUUUAACAAUGGAUCUCUUGGCUCUU